rnacentral:misc_RNA from 1 species
AAGUCGUAACAAGGUUUCCGUAGGUGAACCUGCGGAAGGAUCAUUAACACGUUCCAAAACGUAUCAACCAAACGGUUAAGUGCAAACUUAUUCCCUAGGUAGGAAAAGCUGUUCACAUCUCUUUAGUGAUGGGCAAGUCUUCGGGCUUGCAGAGAGAGGUGACUAGGGUCUCGAGCCCGGUGCUUUCCUACUUAGGCAUUUCCCCCCUUUUUUCCAUCACUUCCAACCAACCCUUUUCACCAACUUUAAACUUAUGACUAAAUCUUUCGAACGAAGAAAUUUGUUUGGAAUUGUAUAUCUAACACUGUACAACUCUUAGCAAUGGAUAUCUUGGUUCUC